GGAUAUCUCCACAUCUGUCAGGUGGAAAACAGAGAAAUACCACAGAAACCAUCCCCCCAGCCCCUCAAACCUCUUUCAAACAGGGUGGUAAUGCAGAUGAACUCAACACCAGCAGAAGACCAGACAUUACCUGCACAGAUGAAUUUUGAGACAAAAAAUAGGGAUGAAGUAACAUGACCAAGGCUGCACGGUAAAGCAGUAGCAAAGACCGAUAAUGGAGGCCUGGAUUUUUCAGUCUGAGAAUUGGAAAGACCAUUCUGGUAGUCCUUGGAAAGACCACCUGGCACCUAGGGAAGCAAUGAAAGGACUAUCUUGGUUUGUCUGCAAGAUACACAUCAUCAGGCACCCCCUUUUAAUCCUUGUCUGGGCUAUUCAGAGAGCUCAUACUCUGUCUGUGGCAGAAAUUGCCUCUUAUCUUGUAAAACACCUUGCACACAAUAAACAACGUGCUCCUCUUGGGUAGCUUCACAGGGAUCCUUCUAACUAAGCUGUUUGUGUGAGUAAUAGGGUCCCUGCUGCAGAUCCCUCAAGAAUUACAAAAUGAAUGUGAGAGCCUGGGUUGCUUUUACCACCUUUCUCCUGCUCUGAGACUGACCUGUGAGAUUGUUGGAGCUCACCCAUGGUGAAGAGACACCUCUUAGGCUGCCAGCUGCCUGAUUUCUGCUGUGGUAGAACUGUGGGUUCCAUUUCACUGUGGUUUUGGUGGCUGCUGCAUAAAACCGUGGCUGCUCGUGGGGCUCGUGGUCUCCCUCCAUCCCCUGGAGAGACUCCAGUUGGCACAGCCUGCAGCCCCACUCCCCUACGCAGAGGAAGAGUUGCCAGUGACUUCUGCAAUGGCUUCGUGGUGGAACCACACGUGACUAUGCAACCUGGCGAGUGUCUACACCCCAUCCAUUUAUCACUGACAUGGCAAGGAACAAAAUUCAAGAAUUGUUUGUGCAGCGUGAACAAAAAAGGCUACGGUGGCCAGCGCAGAGGAAGCACAGCUUACAGUCUGCUUGUGUGUUCACCCUGGCCUCGGCCACGUGUUGCUAUUGGCCAUAAAAAUAUCC
rnacentral:lncRNA from 1 species